rnacentral:lncRNA from 1 species
AACAUUAUCAACCUAUACAACUAAACACAACAUUAUCAACCUGCUACAACAUUAUCAACCUAUACAACUAAACACAACAUUACCAACCUGCUAAAACUCAACACAACAUUACCAACCUGCUACAACUAAAUACAACAUUAUCAACCUGCUACAACAUUAUCAACCUGUACAACUAAACACAACAUUAUCGACCUGCUACAACUAAACACAACAUUAUCGACCUGCUACAACUAAACACAACAUUACAACCUGCUACAACUAAACACAACAUUAUCGACCUGCUACAACUAAACACAACAUUAUCGACCUGCUACACAGAGAGGAACCAAGCAUAAAUGUCUUUUUCCAUUGAUUGAAAAUAGCUGUCACUGCAGGGGGAUGUUUGUAGCCAUCUUUUCAUUUUAUUUUCUCCUUCAUGUGGGAACAUCUAUAAUAUUAGACCCAUCUCUUUAUUCUCUUGAAUGACCUGUACAGACCAGGGUCUGUACCGACCCCGAGCUGGACUGAGGAGGUUUUAUACAGACCAGGGUCUGUACCGACCCCGAGCUGGACUGAGGAGGUUUUAUACAGACCAGGGUCUGUGAUCAACCAAGAUGGACUGAGGAGGUUUUAUACAGACCAGGAUCUGUACCGACCCAGAACUGAACUGAGGAGGUUUUAUACAGACCAGGGUCUGUACCGACCCAGAACUGGACUGAGGAGGUUUUAUACAGACCAGGGUCUGUACCGACCCAGAACUGGACUGAGGAGGUUUUAUACAGACCAGGGUCUGUACCGACCCCGAGCUGCACUGAGGAGGUUUUAUACAGACCAGGGUCUGUACCGACCCCGAGCUGGACUGAGGAGGUUUUAUACAGACCAGGGUCUGUAUCGACCCAGAGCUGGACUGAGGGGUUUUAUACAGACCAGGGUCUGUACUGAGCUGGACUGAGGAGGUUUUAUACAGACCAGGAUCUGUACCGACCCAGAACUGGACUGAGGAGGUUUUAUACAGACCAGGGUCUGUAUCGACCCAGAGCUGGACUGAGGAGGUUUUAUACAGACCAGGGUCUGUACCGACCCAGAACUGGACUGAGGAGGUUUUAUACAGACCAGGGUCUGUACCGACCCAGAGCUGGACUGAGGAGGUUUUAUACAGACAGGGUCUGUGAUCAACCAAGAUGGACUGAGGAGGUUUUAUACAGACCAGGGUCUGUACCGAGCUGGACUGAGGGGUUUUAUACAGACCAGGGUCUGUACCGAGCUGGACUGAGGAGGUUUUAUACAGACCAGGGUCUGUACCGACCCAGAGCUGGACUGAGGAGGUUUUAUACAGACCAGGGUCUGUACCGAGCUGGACUGAGGAGGUUUUAUACAGACCAGGGUCUGUACCGACCCAGAGCUGGACUGAGGAGGUUUUAUACAGACCAGGGUCUGUAUCGACCCCGAGCUGGACUGAGGAGGUUUUAUACAGACCAGGGUCUGUACCGAGCUGGACUGAGGGGUUUUAUACAGACCAGGGUCUGUACCGAGCUGGACUGAGGAGGUUUUAUACAGACCAGGGUCUGUACCGACCCAGAGCUGGACUGAGGAGGUUUUAUACCUGGUCUGUGUUCAACCAAGAUGGAAGAGGAACGACUCAAACAUCCGAAUCUUAGUGCCAAGGUUACCGUGGAAACAGAGGAGGGGAACUGAUUUGUCUA